rnacentral:misc_RNA from 1 species
UCAAUGGACCGAACCUUCUCAAAAUCUGUAAUAGCUUCUUCAGUUUUUCCAAUGAUGGCUUCAACCUUAGCCAUUUCAAGCAGAAUAUGUAUGUUAUUGGGAAAUCGUCGCAGAAGCUCUGCAAAAAAUUCCAAACCACCUUUAUAAUCAUUUGAAGCAAUACAGCAUUGGGCUUCAACAUAACGCUGCAACCAACGGCUUGAAUCAAAAUGAUCAAAAGUAGACCUUGCACCUCGAGUUGGGGUCUG